GCCUGGGUGGCUAGGUCGGUUAAGUGUCUGACUUUGGCUCAGGUCAUGAUCUCAUGGUCCGUGGGUUCCAGCCCCAUGUCAGGCU
rnacentral:tRNA from 1 species